rnacentral:piRNA from 1 species
UGUCUAGCUCAGGGUUUGUGAAUGCACC